UCCGGCUUAUCACCGGCAGUUUCCCCAGAGUGCCCAGCUUGACCUGAUGGCAACAGGGGACGAGGGUUGCGCUCGUUGCGGGACUUAACCCAACAUCUCACGACACGAGCUGACGACAGCCAUGCAGCACCUGUGCACCUCCCACCCGAAGUGAAGGAAUCCGUUUCCGGUUUCCAUAGAGGGCAUGUCAAGUCCUGGUAAGGUUCUUCGCGUUGCCUCGAAUUAAACCACAUGUUCCACCGCUUGUGCGGGUCCCCGUCAAUUUCUUUGAGUUUUAAUCUUGCGACCGUACUCCCCAGGCGGGAUGCUUAACGCGUUAGCUACGCCACUGAACCCGAAGGGCCCAACGGCUAGCAUCCAUCGUUUACAGCGUGGACUAC
rnacentral:misc_RNA from 1 species